CAUUUGAGUCCACACACCUGAGAUAACUAGCCGACUGCCCUGCUCUCUCAGGGAGAAUGAGAAGGCUUCUUCUGUUGCCCCCUCCUGCUUGUGCUUCCUCCAGGUCAUGCAAUUCCCCACUUACCUUCAGGGCUUCAGU